UUUUGCGGGAAGAGGAGCUGCUCUACCUGCAGUGCUGCUUUUCUUGCCUAGACUCUAGGAAAUAUCCGAGCUCCACUCCCCACAACAUACUCAAAGGAACGGAGAGAACUGGGACCCCCCUGCGGGGACCCGGAACUGAUCUGACAGGAUGGCAUCUGAUGACUUUGAUAUAGUGAUUGAGGCCAUGCUGGAAGCUCCCUAUAAAAAAGAAGAGGAAGAAGAGGAGUCGGACCCAUAGUAAAAGCAGGGAUAGAAAGCACAGUCGUAGUCGAGAUCGGGAUCGGUAUAGACGGAGAAAUAGUCGGAGCCGAAGUCGAGGUCGGCAGCGUCGUCACCGUAGCCGUAGCUGGGAUCGUCGACAUAGUAGUGAGUCGCGAAGUCGAGACCGUCGUCGUGAGGAUUGUGUGCGUUACAGGAGUCCUCCACUUGCCUCUGGGGAGCCAGUUGAUAAUCUGAGUCCUGAGGAGCGUGAUGCCCGCACAGUUUUCUGUAUGCAGUUAGCUGCCCGAAUUCGGCCUCGAGAUCUGGAGGACUUUUUCUCUGCUGUAGGCAAGGU
rnacentral:sRNA from 1 species